AAGUUUAGAUUAAUNAAACCAUGAGCCUUCAAAGCUCAAGAUAGAGCGUGCGCUCUAAUUUCUG
rnacentral:tRNA from 1 species